AGGAUGAACGCUGGCGGCGUGCCUAAUACAUGCAAGUCGAGCGGUAAGGCCACUUCGGUGGUACACGAGCGGCGGACGGCUGAGUAACACGUAGGAACGUACCCCAAAGUGAGGCAUAAGCACCAGAAAUGGUGUCUAAUACCGCAUGUGGCCUAACAGGCUAAAGCUCCGGCGCUUUGGGAACGGCCUGCGCAUGAUUAGCUUGUUGGUGAGGUAAAAGCUCACCAAGGCAGUGAUCAUUAGCUGGUCUGAGAGGAUGACCAGCCAGACUGGGACUGAGAACGGCCCAGACUCCUACGGGAGGCAGCAGUAGGGAAUUUUCCACAAUGGGCGAAAGCCUGAUGGAGCAACGCCGCGUGCAGGAUGAAGGCUCUAGGGUCGUAAACUGCUUUUAUCUGUGACGAAUAUGACGGUAGCAGAUGAAUAAGGAUCGGCUAACUCCGCGUCAGCAGCCGCGGU
rnacentral:rRNA from 1 species